AGCCCUUUAGUUUAUAUUAACAUUGUAUGAAUUUAUGUUGUUCAAGUGCUAACUUGUAAUUUUUGUAGGUAACAAUGACGUGCUGCCUCGUGAAAGCAAUGAACCUUUGCGGAAGUCUACAAGGAAAAGGAGGAAGAGGAAGCUUGAUUCGUUUUGAGAUUCGAGGAAGGAGACUUGCAAGUCUAGAAGGAAUUGAAUGACAAUUUGGUUUGUUGCUCAAUGCUUUGUAGUAUGUAAUUAACGAAUCGACGAUCUUUUGUUAUGGGACUGUAAUAUGGACUGGCUGCACUUCUUUUGUUGUUGGACUGCUAUGUGUGUCUUCCUGUGUCUAAUCUUAAGUUUAGUCUCUAAAGUCUGAAACUAUAUUGUUGGACACUUGGACUGCUAUUCUGAUGGUUUAUGAGUAUUGUACAUCUAUAUUGGUCAUUGUAUUGUUA